UAAACAAUAGAAUUCAAUAUUGUUAUAUGAAUAAUGGUGUGAAGUAUUGUAAAGUUUAAUAAUUAGCAAAAUUCUACAACAUUCAUUACUAUAUAGUUUAAGACAUUAUGUAAUACUAAAAGAUUUGACAAAAGAAGUGGCAUUAUUUCAUUCAAAUUUCAAAUUAACAAAGAAAUUGAAAUGAAAAUAAUAAAUUUCCUUGGUAAAAUUUUGAAACUCUUAAGAAACUCAAUAUUGCCAAUUUUGGCCAGUAAUUUUUAAAGCAAUAAAUUAUUAGGAGCACACAUUAAAUAAAGUAUAAAAAACAUCAUUUUCAAUUAUUAAGUAAGAUCUUGCCACAUGGAAGCUUGCAUGCCUCCCACGCACUUCACUUACAACGACGAGACAGUACAAGCAUCAAGACUCGUCAUAAUGAUAGCAUUUCGAGGUUAUUUGCAUAGCCUUCAUGUGAGAGUCACUUUAUGAAGGCCUCAGUCGAUGGUGAACCUAGCAAAAGUUCAGAUGAAUGUAACAAACCCCAAUGGAUUCAGUUGGUAGAGCUGAUAGACGAAGUCUCUUGCCUUGGUCGAUUAGUUUCUACACUAUUUGACCAUUGGAAAUGAACCAUACAUCUAUAUGUUAAGAAAACAGAAUCCUUUUUUAUAAGGGACUUUCAAGGAAAAUAAUCUCCAAUAAUGCAAUUCGGUUUGUAAAGGAAACAAUAUAUAGCGAUAACAAUUCUUCUCAAAUGGAGAUGUGACACAUCUGAAAUAGGUUUACAAUAUCUUUACCUAAUUCAUCCAGG
rnacentral:lncRNA from 1 species